GCAAGUCGAGGGGUAACAGAAGAAAGCUUGCUUUCUUGCUGACGACCGGCGCACGGGUGCGUAACACGUAUGCAACCUACCCUUUACUGGAGGAUAGCCCAGAGAAAUCUGGAUUAAUACUCCAUAAUAUUAAGUUUUCGCAUGAUUACUUAAUUAAAGCUCCGGCGGUAAAGGAUGGGCAUGCGGCCCAUUAGUUUGUUGGUGAGGUAACGGCUCACCAAGACUUCGAUAGGUAGGGGCCCUGAGAGGGGGAUC
rnacentral:rRNA from 1 species